rnacentral:rRNA from 1 species
GCGACUUGUACUGUGAAACUGCGAAUGGCUUAUAAAAUCAGUUAUGGUUUAUUUGAUGGUACCUUACUACUUGGAUAACCGUAGUAAUUCUAGAGCUAAUACAUGCAGGGAUUCCCGACUUUGGAAGGGAUGUAUUUAUUAGAUAAGAGACCUUCUCGGGUUCGCCCGGUUGUGUGCUGAGUCAUAAUAACUGCUCGAAUCGCACGGCUCUACGCCGGCGAUGGUUCAUUCAAAUUUCUGCCCUAUCAGCUUUCGAUGGUAGGAUAGAGGCCUACCAUAGCGUUAACGGGUAACGGAGAAUUAGGGUUCGAUUCCGGAGAGGGAGCCUGAGAAAUGGCUACCACAUCCAAGGAAGGCAGCAGGCGCGUAAGUUGCCCGAAUCCUGACACAGGGAGGUAGUGACAAGAAAUAACAAUACAGGGCUAAUUAUAGUCUUGUAAUUGGAAUGAGUACAACUUACAUCUCUUCACGAGGAUCAACUGGAGGGCAAGUCUGGUGCCAGCAGCCGCGGUAAUUCCAGCUCCAGAAGCGUAUAUUAAAGUUGUUGCAGUUAAAACGCUCGU